AAACACGGCUUUGAAUUUGAAAGCCAGGACUUUUUUGCAAAAUAAUUCAAAAAGUUUGCUGAGCCUUAAACCUUCCCUGACAAUUCCUUCCUUCUGAAGUUAACUCGUUAAAGUUGC
rnacentral:lncRNA from 1 species